AUCAUGGCUCAGAUUGAACCGCUGGCGGCAGGCUUAACACAUGCAAGUCGAGCGGUAACAGGGGGUGCUUGCACCCCGCUGACGAGCGGCGGACGGGUGAGUAAUGCAUAGGAAACUGCCCAGUAGUGGGGGAUAGCCCGGGGAAACCCGGAUUAAUACCGCGUACGCCCUUCGGGGGAAAGCAGGGGCUCUUCGGACCUUGCGCUAUUGGAUGUGCCUAUGUCGGAUUAGCUAGUUGGUGGGGUAAAGGCCUACCAAGGCGACGAUCCGUAGCUGGUCUGAGAGGAUGAUCAGCCACAUCGGGACUGAGACACGGCCCGAACUCCUACGGGAGGCAGCAGUGGGGAAUAUUGGACAAUGGGGGCAACCCUGAUCCAGCCAUGCCGCGUGUGUGAAGAAGGCUUUCGGGUUGUAAAGCACUUUCAGUGAGGAGGAAAAGUUGGUCGUUAAUACCGGCCAGCCUUGACGUUACUCACAGAAGAAGCACCGGCUAA
rnacentral:rRNA from 1 species